AGAGUUUGAUCCUGGCUCAGGAUGAACGCUAGCGGCAGGCUUAAUACAUGCAAGUCGAGGGGCAACAGGGGUAGCAAUACCUGCUGGCGACCGGCAAACGGGUGCGGAACACGUACAGAACCUUCCUUUAAGCGGGGGAUAGCCCAUAGAAAUGUGGAUUAAUACCCCAUAGUAUUGUUGAGUGGCAUCAUUUAAUAAUUAAAGAUUUAUCACUUAAAGAUGGCUGUGCGGCUGAUUAGGUAGUUGGUCGGGGUAACGGCCCACCAAGCCAACGAUCAGUAACUGGUGUGAGAGCACGACCAGUCACACGGGCACUGAGACACGGGCCCGACUCCUACGGGAGGCAGCAGUAAGGAAUAUUGGUCAAUGGACGCAAGUCUGAACCAGCCAUGCCGCGUGAAGGAUGAAGGCCCUCUGGGUUGUAAACUUCUUUUAUCUGGGAAGAAACGCCUGCUUUAUAGCGGGUUUGACGGUACCAGAGGAAUAAGCACCGGCUAACUCCGUGCCAGCAGCCGCGGUAAUACGGAGGGUGCAAGCGUUAUCCGGAUUCACUGGGUUUAAAGGGUGCGUAGGUGGGUUGGUAAGUCAGUGGUGAAAUCUCCGUGCUUAACAUGGAAACUGCCAUUGAUACUACUGAUCUUGAAUUUUCUGGAGGUAAGCGGAAUAUGUCUGUAGCGGUGAAAUGCUUAGAUAUGACAUAGAACACCAAUUGCGAAGGCAGCUUACUACAGGGAUAUUGACACUGAGGCACGAAAGCGUGGGGAUCAAACAGGAUUAGAUACCCUAGUAGUCC
rnacentral:rRNA from 1 species